rnacentral:misc_RNA from 1 species
GUAGGUGAACCUGCGGAAGGAUCAUUACCAAAUCCAAAACUUUAUCAACACUAAACAUGUGAACCGUGAAUGGUCUGUUCUCCUUUCUUCUUUUUUCUUUUCUGAAAAAAGAGAGGAGAACAUUAUUUUUUCAACCCCUUUUCAACCUCAUCUACUUUAUACAUUUAUUUGCUGAAAGCAACCAAAAAAAAAACGAAAACAUGAGACAACUUUUAACGGUGGAUCUCUUGGCUCGU